rnacentral:rRNA from 1 species
CGUGUAGGCGGUCUUCUAAGUCUGGUGUGAAAGCCCGGGGCUUACCCCCGGAAGGGCGCUGGAAACUGGGAGACUGGAGUACCGGAGAGGAGGGUGGAAUUCCUGGUGUAGCGGUGAAAUGCGUAGAUAUCGGAAGGAACAUCAAUGGCGAGGGCAGCCACCUGGGCCUGUACUGACACUGAGACACGAAAGCGUGGGGAUCAAACA